CACAGGGGCGUAGCCACGGGUAGGCACAGGCAUACUCAAUUUCAAGUUACCGACAGCUAAACCUAAUGAUACCCGCGUCUACAAAUAACAGACCAACGUGGACAAUGUGAAAGAAAAUCCUGUACUGAACUGACAAGCUCCCCAGGUCUGGAGCCCCAGCUUCAGUGAUGCACCUCGGGCUCAAGAGGGGCUCCAACCCUGAGAACAGGAUUCCCACAGGGCCCACGUGACCCGCUCCGGAAGGGCCCCGAGCGGCCGGCGCCUGUCUGUCUCCAGCCGGCCUCAGUCCCUCAUGGUGGUCCAGUCUGGGUCCCCUGGGUAGGGUGAGUCCCAUCAGAGCAAUCUGCCAAAUGUGAGGUAAUCCGAUCAUGAGAUUGUUACCCACAAGUCCUCACUCUGCAGGGAUAUGUGUAAAAUGUUGCAAAAAAAGCAAAGAAACCAAAGUAAAGUUUAUAUAGCAACUACUUGUUAUGCCUCCAGAGGCAGGGGAGUGCGUGUGUAAGAGAUAAUAUGCGGCAUUCCUGUUGUAUUCCCCUUAUUCACGAAAGGAAAGAGGCCCAGACACUUAGAUGGGGAAACCAGUUGGCGAGGAAUGACAAAAAAGGAAGGAUGGGACUGUUUCCUGUGAAACAUUGAAAGGGAAAGUAAUACUAGUGUUAGGGGUUUCCAUUUGAAUUGGACAUACUGGAAAGUUCGUAUUGUAAUUUCAAAACUUGAUUGCUGCAAUCAAAAUAAUGAUUGCAAUUUUCUUUAUCAAGCUCUCUUGGAUGUCUCUCUCUCUCUCUGUAGAGAGAGAAGUUGGGAAAAGUUUUACAGGUUUUUUGUGUGCAUUUCUCUUUACUUUGUGGCCAGGCAGCGUCACUGAGGCACGGGGGAUUCACCAUCCACAACAUCCAGAAGGAGAGGGGAGCUCCGUCCCACGUGAUCUUGGGGGUUACACACCCACGGCAACAACAGUUUAACACUGUGACCGUUUAAAAUGUAUGUACUGAGUAAUGACUUAUUAUGACGCUUUAUUAUGUUAAAUGUUAUAUAUGCUGUUUAUGCAAAAUGUUAUAUAUGCUGCUUUCAUAGUGAUUUUACACACUACUCAACACUGAUGAUAAUAACAUCAGGUACUGUAUCUGUAAUUACCGUAAUUACUUUGGACCAGGUGAUACAUGAUAACAGCACUGCAUAUUGCCUGUUAAAAUGCUUUGAGAUAUUGUGGUUUCAAAUUGUAUGUACAGUUUAUUGUUACAUUUGAUCCAAGAUGGGGAACCGCCCACCCCUGAUAUGUUGGUAUAGACAUUAGUCUUCUACGUCUGUGAAUUAUUAGCCAUAAAAUGUAAAAAGGGGAGAAAUAUUUGAAAAUAAAAUGUAUUGUUUAGUUGUUGACCAUUUUUAUUCUUUAUUCCAAAGAAAUACCAGAGAGAUAAAUGUGUCUGGUCAAAACCACUUUCAUUCAAUAUGAAACUACAAUGAACUUGCAUAAACAAAAACAUAUAACUACAAAAAACAGAACAAUUGUAAAAAAAACACUUUUUAAAUGGCAGAAUUAACAAACAGAAAUGCAAAAUUCAAAGAUACAUUAAACAGGUUCUUUCCGGGGGAGCAUGAAAGUGUGUUAUAAAUUAGUUUAUGCUGCCAGACCAGCUAAUGCUGUGUUCACUGUGUUCCAAGGGACAGUGAGACACUGUUGCCCUCUAGUGGAGGUCUUGUGCAGAUACACUCACUGUGGAUUUGAAGACCCUUGAGAUGAACUACACUGUAUGGACAAACGUAUUGGGACACCUGACCAUCACAACUAUAUGACUAACAUGUUCCACUCUUCUGGAAGGCUGUCCACGAGAAUGCGGAAUGGGUUGCCAUAAAAUCUCCUGCAAGUGUAAUGAGUAGCUGUCCCAAUGCUUUUGUCCUAUAUGGUGUAUUAUGACCGGUUAUGUACAUUACAUUCUACAUGUGUCAGACUCCUCUACAUAUGAACCUUGACAUAAAAA